UACGUAUGGAGCAAGCGUUAUCCGGAUUUACUGGGUGUAAAGGGAGCGUAGGCGGUAAGGCAAGUCUGAUGUGAAAGGCCAGGGCUCAACCCUGGGACUGCAUUGGAAACUGUUUAACUGGAGUGUCGGAGAGGCAAGUGGAAUUCCUAGUGUAGCGGUGAAAUGCGUAGAUAUUAGGAGGAACACCAGUGGCGAAGGCGGGUUCCUGGACAUUAACUGACGCUGAGGCACGAAGGCCAGGGGAGCGAAAGGG
rnacentral:rRNA from 1 species